CUCUUGAACCGCGAUCAAAACAGUGACGCCUGCAGGCACAGCAAUCAGUAAGAUCAGACCGGGGGUUGCCAGACUGGAUGUUUUGGAAAACACUGUGCAGGGAAAGUUUUUUGGGCUAGAGAUCAGGGUUGGAGGGAGUCUGGAGUCUAUCCCAGGGAACUACAAGGCAGGGACACCUGGAACGGGGUGCAAACCCAUCGCAGGGCACAAUCACGCACCCAUUCACACACUAUGGACAAUCUGGAAAUGACGAUCAGACUACAAUGCAUGUCCUUGAACUAGGUGAACGCCUGCGUACGCAGGACGGAGGCGCGAUUCAAACCCCCAACCCCAAAGGUGCACUGCAAACGUGCUAACCUUUAAGGCAAUGUGCGCCCCACAGCAAUUUGUCCAUAAUCCAUAAAAUAAAUGUUAUUAUUUAAGUGUCUUACUUUUUAUCCAUUUAUGGUUGAAUUUAAUUUAAUGUGUGUAAAGUCAGAGAAACAAGUUAGUCCCUGUUUUCCUGUUACAUUAUAGCAGCUAUAAACAGUAGUUCCUUCAACAGCCUCGCUCUUGUUUUUCUCUCUCUAUAAAAUACUUUUUUUCAAACAUAGAUUGUCAGGUUAUCCUGAGGAAAAUGCUGUGAUUGUUACAACCCACUAACACUGGAGACUCCUUCCAUAAACAUCUCCUCACAGAAACGUUCACCAUAUCAGCGAUUAUAUGGGUGUUUUUUUUUCUUUGUUAAAUAAAGACAUAUUUCAAUCUGUA